UUUUCGCAAUGCCCGAAAGGGUGACGAAGCGACGCCGCGUGGAUGAAGAAGGCCUUCGGGUUGUAAAAUCCUGUCAGGAGUUAAGAAAUGUAGGUGCGAUAAUACCGUGCCUAUUUGACAAAGGCUCCAAAGGAAGCCACGGCUAACUCUGUGCCAGCAGCCGCGGUAAUACAGAGGUGGCAAGCGUUGUUCGGAAUUAUUGGGCGUAAAGAGCACGUAGGUGGAUUUGUUAGUCAGAUGUGAAAGCCUUUCGUUCAACGGAAGAAUUGCAUCUGAAACUACAAACCUUGAGUAUAGGAGGGGAGAGUGGAACUUCUGGUGGAGCGGUGAAAUGCGUAGAUAUCAGAAGGAACGCCGGCGGCGAAAGCGGCUCUCUGGCCUAUAACUGACACUGAGUGUGCGAAAGCUAGGGGAGCAAACGGGAUUAGAUACCCCGGUAGUCCUAGCCGUAAACGAUGGGCACUAAGUAGAGGGGUU
rnacentral:rRNA from 1 species